rnacentral:rRNA from 1 species
AUUGAACGCUGGCGGCAUGCUUUACACAUGCAAGUCGGACGGCAGCACAGAGAAGCUUGCUUCUUGGGUGGCGAGUGGCGAACGUGUGAGUAAUAUAUCGGAACGUACCGAGUAAUGGGGGUUAACUAAUCGAAAGAUUAGCUAAUACCGCAUAUUCUCUGAGGCGGAAAGCAGGGGACCUUCGGGCCUUGCUUUAUUCGAGCGGCCGUUAUUUGAUUAGCUAGUUGGUGGGGUAAAGGCCUACCAAGGCGACGAUCAGUAGCGGGUCUGAGAGGUUGAUCCGCCACACUGGAACUGAGACACGGCCCAGACUCCUACGGGAGGCAGCAGUGGGGAAUUUUGGACAAUGGGCGCAAGCCUGAUCCAGCAAUGCCGCGUGUCUGAAGAAGGCCUUCGGGUUGUAAAGGACUGUUGUCAGGGAAGAAAAGGCUGUUGCGAAUACCGACAGCUGAUGACGGUACCUGAAGAAUAAGCACCGGCUAACUACGUG